AUUGAACGCUGGCGGCAGGCUUAACACACGCAAGUCGAGCGGGGGAGGUUGCUUCGGUAACUGACCUAGCGGCGGACGGGUGAGUAAUGCUUAGGAAUCUGCCUAUUAGUGGGGGACAACAUUCCGAAAGGAAUGCUAAUACCGCAUACGCCCUACGGGGGAAAGCAGGGGAUCUUCGGACCUUGCGCUAAUAGAUGAGCCUAAGUCGGAUUAGCUAGUUGGUGGGGUAAAGGCCUACCAAGGCGACGAUCUGUAGCGGGUCUGAGAGGAUGAUCCGCCACACUGGGACUGAGACACGGCCCAGACUCCUACGGGAGGCAGCAGUGGGGGAUAUUGGACAAUGGGCGGAAGCCUGAUCCAGCCAUGCCGCGUGUGUGAAGAAGGCCUUUUGGUUGUAAAGCACUUUAAGCGAGGAGGAGGCUCUUAAGGUUAAUACCCUUGAUGAGUGGACGUUACUCGCAGAAUAAGCACCGGCUAACUCUGUGCCAGCAGCCGCCGUAAUAC
rnacentral:rRNA from 1 species